UGUUGUUUUUCUGAAAAUCAGUUUAAGAACUGUUCAUUUUUAGUUGUUAAGACUUUAUCGGCUUACUGCUAUUUUUUGGAUUUUUCUUGAAUGCACUUUUCAGUUAACAAGUCAACAUCAAUUUCUUUUGUUGUAAAACGGUAAAAGGAAGGUGGCUUUAUCUUCGGAUGAAGUGUUUAUAGCCUUUUACUUCUGCAAUCGGAGAGAUUGAGGUCUGCAGCGUAGAUCCUUCGGGGUUAGAUACUUCUAUGCUAAGCUAUAGUCCUAUAUAGACAACUUGUUGACUAUGUUCGAUCCUGUAACUUACUCGUAGAUACUAUUUUACCUAC
rnacentral:rRNA from 1 species